AGUAUUGCAUGGCUGAAAUGACAUCUAUUUCAUUUUUAGUUUCCAACAAGUCACAUGAUCUCAUAGCAUGGGCUAUAGGCGUGCUACAUGUCAAAUAUUUUCAAUCGGAUUUGAGACUGCAAAGUUUCAAUAAAGCAGGAAUCGCCUGUAAUCAGGUGAAAUACAACCUGGUGAAAAUUAUCGCUCUUCGUGCACACACUGCCCGUCACAUCCGGAAACAACUUAACAUCCCUAUACUUUUGUUGCUGAUAGCAGUAAAAAAUACAAGAUGCACGUCGAAUUUGGAUGAAGUCGUAACAAGGUUUGAGUAGGGGAACCUGCUCAGGAAAAUGUUCAUAA
rnacentral:rRNA from 5 species